rnacentral:rRNA from 1 species
CUGACGAGUGGCGGACGGGUGAGUAAUGCUUGGGAAUCUGGCUUAUGGAGGGGGAUAACGACGGGAAACUGUCGCUAAUACCGCGUAGUAUCGGAAGAUGAAAGUGCGGGACUGUAAAGCCGCAUGCCAUGAGAUGAGCCCAAGUGGGAUUAGGUAGUUGGUGGGGUAAAGGCCUACCAAGCCUGCGAUCUCUAGCUGGUCUGAGAGGAUGACCAGCCACACUGGAACUGAGACACGGUCCAGACUCCUACGGGAGGCAGCAGUGGGGAAUAUUGCGCAAUGGGGGCAACCCUGACGCAGCCAUGCCGCGUGAAUGAAGAAGGCCUUCGGGUUGUAAAGUUCUUUCGGUAUUGAGGAAGGUUGAUGUGUUAAUAGUACAUCAAAUUGACGUUAAAUACAGAAGAAGCACCGGCUAACUCCGUGCCAGCAGCCGCGGUAAUACGGAGGGUGCGAGCGUUAAUCGGAAUAACUGGGCGUAAAGGGCACGCAGGCGGUUAUUUAAGUGAGGUGUGAAAGCCCCGGGCUUAACCUGGGAAUUGCAUUUCAGACUGGGUAACUAGAGUACUUUAGGGAGGGGUAGAAUUCCACGUGUAGCGGU